AACGAACGCUGGCGGCAUGCCUAACACAUGCAAGUCGAGCGAGACCUUCGGGUCUAGUGGCGCACGGGUGCGUAACGCGUGGGAACCUGCCCUUAGGUUCGGAAUAACUCCCCGAAAGGGGUGCUAAUACCGGAUAAUGUCUUCGGACCAAAGAUUUAUCGCCUUUGGAUGGGCCCGCGUUGGAUUAGCUAGUUGGUAGGGUAAAAGCCUCCCAAGGCGACGAUCCAUAGCUGGUCUGAGAGGAUGAUCAGCCACACUGGGACUGAGACACGGCCCAGACUCCUACGGGAGGCAGCAGUGGGGAAUAUUGGACAAUGGGCGAAAGCCUGAUCCAGCAAUGCCGCGUGAGUGAUGAAGGCCUUAGGGUUGUAAAGCUCUUUUACCCGGGAUGAUAAUGACAGUACCGGGAGAAUAAGCUCCGGCUAACUCCGUG
rnacentral:rRNA from 1 species